rnacentral:rRNA from 1 species
AUACGUAGGUGGCAAGCGUUGUCCGGAAUUAUUGGGCGUAAAGCGCAUGUAGGCGGUAAUUUAAGUCUGUCGUGAAACUGCGGGGCUCAGCCCCGUAUGGCGAUGGAAACUGGGUUACUUGAGUGCAGGAGAGGAAAGGGGAACUCCCAGUGUAGCGGUGAAAUGCGUAGAUAUUGGGAAGAACACCGGUGGCGAAGGCGCCUUUCUGGACUGUGUCUGACGCUGAGAUGCGAAAGCCAGGGUAGCGAACGGGAUUAGAUACCCCGGUAGUCCUGGCCUUAAACGAUGGGUACUAGGUGUGGGAGGUAUCGACCCCUUCCGUGCCGGAGUUAACGCAAUAAGUACCCCGCCUGGGGAGUACGGCCGCAAGGCUUAAACUCAAAUGAAUUGACGGGG